rnacentral:rRNA from 1 species
GGGGAAUAUUGCACAAUGGAGGAAACUCUGAUGCAGCGAUGCCGCGUGAGGGAAGAAGGUUUUAGGAUUGUAAACCUCUGUCUUCGGGGACGAAAAAAAGACGGUACCUGAGGAGGAAGCUCCGGCUAACUACGUGCCAGCAGCCGCGGUAAUACGUAGGGAGCGAGCGUUGUCCGGAAUUACUGGGUGUAAAGGGAGCGUAGGCGGGAUCGCAAGUCAGAUGUGAAAACUAUGGGCUUAACCCAUAAACUGCAUUUGAAACUGUGGUUCUUGAGUGAAGUAGAGGUAAGCGGAAUUCCUAGUGUAGCGGUGAAAUGCGUAGAUAUUAGGAGGAACAUCAGUGGCGAAGGCGGCUUACUGGGCUUUAACUGACGCUGAGGCUCGAAAGCGUGGGGAGCAAACAGGAUUAGAUACCCUGGUAGUCCACGCCGUAAACGAUGAUUACUAGGUGUGGGGGGACUGACCCCUUCCGUGCCGCAGCAAACGCAAUAAGUAAUCCACCUGGGGAGUACGACCGCAAGGUUGAAACUCAAAGGAAUUGACGGGGGCCCGCACAAGCAGUGGAGUAUGUGGAUUAAUUCGAAGCAACGCGAAGAACCUUACCAGGUCUUGACAUCGUAUGCAUAGCUCAGAGAUGAGUGAAAUCUCUUCGGAGACAUAUAGACAGGUGGUGCAUGGUUGUCGUCAGCUCGUGUCGUGAGAUGUUGGGUUAAGUCCCGCAACGAGCGCAACCCUUACUGUUAGUUGCUACGCAAGAGCACUCUAGCAGGACUGCCGUUGACAAAACGGAGGAAGGUGGGGAUGACGUCAAAUCAUCAUGCCCCUUAUGACCUGGGCCUCACACGUACUACAAUGGCUGUCAACAGAGGGAAGCAAAGCCGCGAGGUGGAGCGAACCCCUAAAAGCAGUCUUAGUUCGGAUUGUAGGCUGCAACCCGCCUACAUGAAGUCGGAAUUGCUAGUAAUCGCAGAUCAGCAUGCUGCGGUGAAUACGUUCCCG